rnacentral:rRNA from 1 species
AGGUCAAGCUACAAAGGGCUUACGGUG